AGCAGCCGCGGUAAUUCCAGCUCCAAUAGCGUAUAUUAAAGUUGUUGCAGUUAAAAAGCUCGUAGUUGAAUUUCGGGAUCGAAUUGUUGGUCGUGCCUCGGUACGCACUGGCAUUAUCGGUUCCUACCUUCUGAAGAACCGCGAUGUCAUUAAUUUGGUGUCGUGGGGAAUCAGGACUGUUACUUUGAAAAAAUUAGAGUGUUUAAAGCAGGCUUACGCUUGAAUACAUUAGCAUGGAAUAAUGAAAUAGGACGUUUGAUUCUAUUUUGUUGGUUUCUAGGAUCGACGUAAUGAUUAAUAGGGAUAGUUGGGGGCAUUAGUAUUCAAUUGUCAGAGGUGAAAUUCUUGGAUUUAUUGAAGACUAACUACUGCGAAAGCAUUUGCCAAGGAUGUUUUCAUUAAUCAAGAACGAAAGUUAGGGGAUCGAAGACGAUCAGAUACCGUCGUAGUCUUAACCAUAAACUAUGCCGACUAGGGAUCGGA
rnacentral:rRNA from 1 species